UACGUAGGGGGCUAGCGUUGUCCGGAAUUAUUGGGCGUAAAGAGCUCGUAGGCGGUCUGUUGCGUCCGCUGUGAAAACUCGGGGCUUAACCCCGAGCCUGCAGUGGAUACGGGCAGACUAGAGGUAGGUAGGGGAGAAUGGAAUUCCCGGUGUAGCGGUGAAAUGCGCAGAUAUCAGGAGGAACACCGGUGGCGAAGGCGCCCACCUGGCCUGCUACUGACGCUGAUGCUCGAAAGCUAGGGGAGCAAACGGG
rnacentral:rRNA from 1 species